GGGGUUGUAGCUCAGUGGUAGAGCACUUGCCUUGCAUGCACAAGGCCCUGGGUUCGAUCCUCAGCACCA
rnacentral:tRNA from 1 species